UCGUCAACCUGUUGCGGGCAGAUGAAGUGGAUGUGGCAGUCGAUGCCGCCGGCGGUCAGGAUGCGGCCCUCGGCGGCAAUGAUCUCGGUCCCCGGACCGAUCACCAGCGUGACGCCGGGCUGAGUGUCGGGGUUGCCGGCCUUGCCGAUCCCCGCGAUGCGCCCGUCGCGCAGCCCGAUGUCGGCCUUGAUGAUGCCGGUCCAGUCGAGGAUCAGCGCGUUGGUGAUGACGGUGUCCAUCGCGCCCUCGGCCCGGGACAGCUGCGACUGGCCCAUGCCGUCGCGG
rnacentral:sRNA from 1 species